UACGAAGGGGGCUAGCGUUGUUCGGAAUCACUGGGCGUAAAGGGCGCGUAGGCGGCUUUGUAAGUCGGGGGUGAAAGCCUGUGGCUCAACCACAGAAUUGCCUUCGAUACUGCAUGGCUUGAGACCGGAAGAGGUUAGUGGAACUGCGAGUGUAGAGGUGAAAUUCGUAGAUAUUCGCAAGAACACCAGUGGCGAAGGCGGCUGACUGGUCCGGUUCUGACGCUGAGGCGGCGAAAGCGUGGGGAGCAAACAGG
rnacentral:rRNA from 1 species